rnacentral:rRNA from 1 species
GACGAACGCUGGCGGCGUGCUUAACACAUGCAAGUCGAACGGUAAGGCCCUUCGGGGUACACGAGUGGCGAACGGGUGAGUAACACGUGGGUGAUCUGCCCUGCACUUCGGGAUAAGCCUGGGAAACUGGGCCUAAUACCGGAUAGGACCACUGCCUGCAUGGGUGGUGGUGGAAAGCUUUUGCGGGGUGGGAUGGGCCCGCAGCCUAUCAGCUUGUUGGUGGGGUGAUGGCCUACCAAGGCGACGACGGGUAGCCGGCCUGAGAGGGUGACCGGCCACACUGGGACUGAGAUACGGCCCAGACUCCUACGGGAGGCAGCAGUGGGGAAUAUUGCACAAUGGGCGCAAGCCUGAUGCAGCGACGCCGCGUGAGGGAUGACGGCCUUCGGGUUGUAAACCUCUUUCAGCACCGACGAAGCGCAAGUGACGGUAGGUGCAGAAGAAGGACCGGCCAACUACGUGCCAGCCGCCGCCGUAA